UGAGGGUCCUGGUGAGCAGCAGGUUGAAGUAGCUGAGCAGGAGCUCAUUGAAGGCAAGUUGUGCCCUUGACCACUUUUUACCCAAUAAUGUUCUUUAAUAUCACUUACCCAUGCAUAGGUUAAUUUUGAUGGGACCCAAUAGGUCACCCUAGAUUGUUUAUCUCAUUACCUUGUUUACCCCUGAAUCACUUGGGUAGUUUGCUAUUGCUUUAUAUGGUUUUGGGAUAAUCAUUUAUUACCUCUAUGUUCCAAUUCUUGUUGUUAUUCUGUUUAUGUUCAUGUUGUUAUCAUUAAUGUUAAUUGGAACAUAGAGCUUAACUUGAGAACCACGUGCCACCACAAGGGUUUAAUGGGACGCCCUUGGCUGAUUAACUAGGAAAGCUAGUGGAAGACUACCUUACCCGAAAGGGGCAAGGGCAGUAGGGGAGAGGUCAGUGCGGGGAGGUCCCUGGUUGAUUUUGCUGCGAUGGCGGUCAGCCAGGAACCCUGUACUGGAUCUUCCCAUAAACUGUAGCGGGUUUUCGGAAGCUAGUGGAACUUUGUAAAGGCCUCGUAGUGUUGCCCUGCCGCGCUUCCUAGGUAGAGGUGUAUGGGAUUCAUGACCCCUUGGCAGAUGGGUAACAUGACUUGUGGGUAAAGGGUACAACCUCUGCAGAGUGUAAAACUGGUAUACUAGCCGAGCUCACGGUCAUGAGCAGCUCAGGACUCUCUGAUGUUUAAAUUAUGGAACUUAAAUUCAAUUUUGUCAUUUGCAUAUGCAUGGGUUUAUUAUUAAUUUGUUCUAUUACUUUUAUUAUGGUUUGGUAUUUACUUACACUUAGUAACUGCUAAUAAAAUUUUGACCAACUACUUAAAAGCAAUGCUCAGCUUUAACCCCUAUCAUUGAUCAGCCUUACACUUCACAUGAGCUCCCACCUUUGGUGAGUUCGUGUCACAUUAUUCCCCACAACUUGUUGAGCGAUGAUCAUGUGUGAGCUCACCCUUGCUGUCUCACACCCCCCCACAGGAGAUGAUCAGGUGGUUCAGGAGGAGCCGCCUAACACUGAGGAGUUCGAUCUGAUCUAGGUGGCGUUUCCCAGUCGACAUUGGCGCCGACGAUCCUUAGUUCGUUUUAUAUUUAUCUCUUAUUUUGUAAUAAGUCUUCCGCUAUGUAAUAAAUACUCUGAUGAUUUAUGACAUUUAUCUCUAUACACUCUGUUAUUAUA
rnacentral:lncRNA from 1 species